UACGAAGGGGGCGAGCGUUGUUCGGAAUUACUGGGCGUAAAGCGUGCGCAGGCGGUUUUGUAAGCCAGAUGUGAAAUCCCCGGGCUCAACCUGGGAAUGGCAUUUGGGACUGCAAGGCUGGAGUGCGGCAGAGGAGACUGGAAUUCCUGGUGUAGCAGUGAAAUGCGUAGAUAUCAGGAGGAAUACCGAUGGCGAAGGCAGGUCUCUGGGCUGACACUGACGCUCAGGAGCGAAAGCGCGGGGAGCGAACAGG
rnacentral:rRNA from 1 species